rnacentral:rRNA from 1 species
UACGUAGGUGGCAAGCGUUGUCCGGAUUUACUGGGCGUAAAGAGCGCGCAGGCGGCUGGUCAAGUCCGAUGUGAAAUCUCCCGGCUUAACUGGGAAACUGCCAUUGAUACUAUUUGUCUUGAAUACUGUGGAGGUCAGCGGAAUAUGUCAUGUAGCGGUGAAAUGCUUAGAUAUGACAUAGAACACCAAUUGCGAAGGCAGCUGGCUACACAAAUAUUGACACUGAGGCACGAAAGCGUGGGGAUCAAACAGG